ACCUAGGGCAGGAGAAAACAAGGGUUUUCCUUGUUCUUGCAAAAACUCACCAAUUGACAAGGAGAAAUCAAGAUUUAUUUACUGCAUGUUCUAAAAUUUCAGCCAUCUAAGCAUAUCUAGUGGAAUGGUGUGAAGGAAGAAGGUUCGAAUUCUAAGAAGCCGGAAGGAUCACAAGACCGAGGUAAAUCCUCGACUUAGGCGAUUGGACGGCUUGGAACGUGCACACUUGGUUUACGCCCGCCUCACGCUUCCGUUAUUAAAUCUUUUGGAAUGGGAUAAGUCUUGGUCAUAUGUAUUUAAGUCUAUAUAGUAUGUUGACAUCUUUGUCGUAGGGUAAAACUUGAUAGUUGAAGUCAUGUCGUGUCCAAUGUGGACUUUGUUUGUUUUGGGUUUUUGUCAAGGAUGUUUAAUGUU